rnacentral:rRNA from 1 species
UUCCUACGGGAGGCAGCAGUGAGGAAUAUUGGUCAAUGGGCGGAAGCCUGAACCAGCCAAGUCGCGUGAGGGACUAAGGCCCUGCGGGUCGUAAACCUCUUUUGCCGGGGAGCAGUGGUCCGGACGCGUCCGGACCGGGAGAGUACCCGGAGAAAAAGCAUCGGCUAACUCCGUGCCAGCAGCCGCGGUAAUACGGAGGAUGCGAGCGUUAUCCGGAUUUAUUGGGUUUAAAGGGUGCGCAGGCGGUCUGUUAAGUCAGCGGUCAAAGCCCGGGGCUCAACCCCGGCCCGCCGUUGAAACUGGCA